AUGAUUCAAAAGUGAAAGACGGUCUUGCUGUCACUUAUAGAUGGAUCCGCGCUGCAUUAGCUAGUUGGUAAGGUAACGGCUUACCAAGGCAACGAUGCAUAGCCGACCUGAGAGGGUGAUCGGCCACACUGGAACUGAGACACGGUCCAGACUCCUACGGGAGGCAGCAGUAGGGAAUCUUCCGCAAUGGGCGAAAGCCUGACGGAGCAACGCCGCGUGAGUGAUGAAGGUCUUCGGAUCGUAAAACUCUGUUAUUAGGGAAGAACAUAUGUGUAAGUAACUGUGCACAUCUUGACGGUACCUAAUCAGAAAGCCACGGCUAACUACGUGCCAGCAGCCGCGGUAAUACGUAGGUGGCAAGCGUUAUCCGGAAUUAUUGGGCGUAAAGCGCGCGUAGGCGGUUUUUUAAGUCUGAUGUGAAAGCCCACGGCUCAACCGUGGAGGGUCAUUGGAAACUGGAAAACUUGAGUGCAGAAGAGGAAAGUGGAAUUCCAUGUGUAGCGGUGAAAUGCGCAGAGAUAUGGAGGAACACCAGUGGCGAAGGCGACUUUCUGGUCUGUAACUGACGCUGAUGUGCGAAAGCGUGGGGAUCAAACAGGAUUAGAUACCCUGGUAGUCCACGCCGUAAACGAUGAGUGCUAAGUGUUAGGGGGUUUCCGCCCCUUAGUGCUGCAGCUAACGCAUUAAGCACUCCGCCUGGGGAGUACGACCGCAAGGUUGAAACUCAAAGGAAUUGACGGGGACCCGCACAAGCGGUGGAGCAUGUGGUUUAAUUCGAAGCAACGCGAAGAACCUUACCAAAUCUUGACAUCCUUUGACAACUCUAGAGAUAGAGCUUUCCCCUUCGGGGGACAAAGUGACAGGUGGUGCAUGGUUGUCGUCAGCUCGUGUCGUGAGAUGUUGGGUUAAGUCCCGCAACGAGCGCAACCCUUAAGCUUAGUUGCCAUCAUUAAGUUGGGCACUCUAAGUUGACUGCCGGUGACAAACCGGAGGAAGGUGGGGAUGACGUCAAAUCAUCAUGCCCCUUAUGAUUUGGGCUACACACGUGCUACAAUGGACAAUACAAAGGGCAGCGAAACCGCGAGGUCAAGCAAAUCCCAUAAAGUUGUUCUCAGUUCGGAUUGUAGUCUGCAACUCGACUACAUGAAGCUGGAAUCGCUAGUAAUCGUAGAUCAGCAUGCUACGGUGAAUACGUUCCCGGGUCUUGUACACACCGCCCGUCACACCACGAGAGUUUGUAACACCCGAAGCCGGUGGAGUAACCUUUUAGGAGCUAGCCGUCGAAGGUGGGACAAAUGAUUGGGGUGAAGUCGUAACAAGGUAGCCGUAUCGGAAGGUGCGGCUGGAUCACCUCCUUU
rnacentral:rRNA from 1 species